rnacentral:rRNA from 1 species
GACAGAGGGUGCAAACGUUGUUCGGAAUUACUGGGCGUAAAGCGAGUGUAGGCGGUCCGAUAAGUCGGGUGUGAAAGCCCUGGGCUCAACCCAGGAAGUGCACUCGAAACUGCCGGGCUAGAGUAUCGGAGAGGUUGGUGGAAUUCUCGGUGUGGAGGUGAAAUUCGUAGAUAUCGAGAGGAACACCGGUGGCGAAGGCGGCCAACUGGACGAAUACUGACGCUGAGACUCGAAAGCGUGGGGAGCAAACAGG